rnacentral:rRNA from 1 species
CCUACGGGGGGCAGCAGUGGGGAAUCUUAGACAAUGGGCGAAAGCCUGAUCUAGCCAUGCCGCGUGAGUGAUGAAGGUCUUAGGAUCGUAAAGCUCUUUCGCUAGGGAUGAUAAUGACAGUACCUAGUAAAGAAGCCCCGGCUAACUCCGUGCCAGCAGCCGCGGUAAUACGGAGGGGGCUAGCGUUGUUCGGAAUUACUGGGCGUAAAGCGUACGUAGGCGGAUCAGAAAGUAUGGGGUGAAAUCCCAGGGCUUAACCCUGGAACUGCCUCAUAAACUCCUGGUCUUGAGUUCGAGAGAGGUGAGUGGAAUUCCAAGUGUAGAGGUGAAAUUCGUAGAUAUUUGGAGGAACACCAGUGGCGAAGGCGGCUCACUGGCUCGAUACUGACGCUGAGGUACGAAAGUGUGGGGAGCAAACAGGAUUAGAUACCCGAGUAGUC